rnacentral:sRNA from 11 species
AAAUUAAAUUAAUAAUUGCAAACAAUUAUUUUUCAAAAUUUAAUUUUUCUUUCUUUUCUUAUUUUUCUUAUUAAGAGACGGUGAUGGAUUCA